rnacentral:rRNA from 1 species
CAGUCGCCGCGGUAAUACGUAGGUGGCAAGCGUUGUCCGGAAUUAUUGGGCGUAAAGGGCUCGCAGGCGGUUUCCUAAGUCUGAUGUGAAAGCCCCCGGCUCAACCGGGGAGGGUCAUUGGAAACUGGGAAACUUGAGUGCAGAAGAGGAGAGUGGAAUUCCACGUGUAGCGGUGAAAUGCGUAGAGAUGUGGAGGAACACCAGUGGCGAAGGCGACUCUCUGGUCUGUAACUGACGCUGAGGAGCGAAAGCGUGGGGAGCGAACAGGAUUAGAUACCCCGGUAGUCCCUGUCUCUUAUAC